rnacentral:rRNA from 1 species
UACGGGGGGAGCAAGCGUUGUUCGGAUUUACUGGGCGUAAAGGGCGCGUAGGCGGCCAGCACAAGUCAGUUGUGAAAUCUCCGAGCUUAACUCGGAAAGGUCAACUGAUACUGUGCGGCUAGAGUGCAGAAGGGGCAACUGGAAUUCUUGGUGUAGCGGUGAAAUGCGUAGAUAUCAAGAGGAACACCUGCGGCGAAAGCGGGUUGCUGGGCUGACACUGACGCUGAGGCGCGAAAGCUAGGGGAGCGAACGGG